GGGCCAUAGCUCAGUGGCAGAGCAUCUGCCUGGCAUGCGGAAGGUGCCAGGUUCAGUCCCCAGCAUCUCCA